ACAUCAUGUUUCCUCUGGGAAGUAUGCGUGUCUCCUCCUGUUGAUUUUAACACAGGCGUUGAGUUCAGCAGAGUCAGGAGUGUCCAACCCAAGACGGGGAAAGAGAGACGGUCAGUUGAGUUGGUCAGGUAAUAUCGGUAACAGGGAGAGUACUGGCGAGGUUUCACCGAGAGGACAGCACGCUUCUUUUCUCCCCGAAGAGAGACACCGUGACGAAUAUUCUACGUUCCACGGCGGGGUAAUCGAUCCAAUCGAGAAGGACCGUCUGAACCGAGGUUUUGUGGGAUUUGGUUCAUUUUCUCAGCCAGAACAGUUGAACAGAAAUCGCAGGGACAGAGAACAGACACGCUUCGGCCAAUUCAACUCGGACACGCACGGCUGCAGCGGUAUCCAGGCAAGAAGCUGCAGUGCUCAUGGUCACUGUGCAGGAUGCCUGGGACUCUACACCUGUGACGUGGACCUUGGGAAAUGUCAUCUCAAGGGGAUCUCACAGAGGACAGAAAGCAAGUUCUUCCAGACGCUGAGUGAUAGCAGACGGAGUUGACACCUAAACCAACACAACCCGAUGAUGAACCUUGACCUUUUCUACUGAUUCUGUUGUUGUUGUUGUUGUUGUUGUUGUUGUUGUUGUUGUUGUUGUUGUAUAUUUUACUGAUGUGCAGGAAAUGCAACUUCUAAUUUGAAUUUUCAAAUAAAAUGAAAUUAUUUUCACGGUCAAUGAUUUACUGGUACUAGAGUGAACUCAAAUGUACUCAAAUGUUGAUGUUAAUAUGAAUUGUUAAUAUAAUGUGUGAUGCUAUUUUGUAAUAAAUCUCCUCAGGGGUCAGUUCCUCUUCGGAUAUUACUUUGUUAUGGGCUUAGUGGUCGGAAUAUUUGAUAAACAUCUCUGGAUACCUGAAUAUAUUAUCUUGUUUUGGGCAAAAAAUAAUUGGAAUUUUCCCAGAAGAUCAAUAAAUAUUCACAUUUUAUC